CGAACGGGUGAGUAACACGUGGACAAUCUACCGUUGAGUGGGGAACAACCAGGGGAAACUUUGGCUAAUUCCGCAUAAUUCCAUCAUUCCCUGGAGUGAUGGGAAAGGGGGUCAAUUCUUGAAAGCUCCCGCUCUUCGAGGAGUCCGCGUCUGAUUAGCUAGUUGGUGGGGUAACGGCCUACCAAGGCUUCGAUCAGUAGCCGGCCUGAGAGGGCGAUCGGCCACACUGGAACCGAGACACGGUCCAG
rnacentral:rRNA from 1 species